GACGAACGCUGGCGGCGUGCUUAACACAUGCAAGUCGAGCGGUAAGGCCCUUUCGGGGGUACGACGAGCGGCGAACGGGUGAGUAACACGUGGGUGACCUGCCCUCAGCUCUGGGAUAAGCCCGGGAAACUAGGGUCUAAUACUGGAUAUGACUCCAUGACGCAUGUUGUGGGGUGGAAAGCCUUGUGCGGCUGAGGAUGGGCCCGCGGCCUAUCAGCUUGUUGGUGGGGGAUGGCCUACCAAGGCGACGACGGGUAGCCGGCCUGAGAGGGCGACCGGCCACACUGGGACUGAGACACGGCCCAGAUUCCUACGGGAGGCAGCAGUGGGGAAUCUUGCGCAAUGGGCGAAAGCCUGACGCAGCGACGCCGCGUGAGGGAUGACGGCC
rnacentral:rRNA from 1 species